rnacentral:tRNA from 1 species
UCCCCCGUGGCGCAAUUGGCUAGCGCGUUCGACUGUUAAGAUCUGCAAAUCGAGAGGUUGGUGGUUCAAGCCCACCCGGGGGAG